UGCCAGCCGCCGCGGUAAUACGAAGGGUGCUAGCGUUGUUCGGAAUUACUGGGCGUAAAGAGCAUGUAGGCGGCCUGAUAAGUGGAUUGUGAAAGCCCAUGGCUCAACCAUGGAACUGCAACCCAAACUGUCAGGCUUGAGUCUCGGAGAGGAUGGGGGAAUUCCCGGUGUAGCGGUGGAAUGCAUUGAUAUCGGGAGGAACACCAGUGGCGAAGGCGCCCAUCUGGCCGAAGACUGACGCUCAGGCGCGAAAGCUAGGGGAGCAAACAGGAUUAGAUA
rnacentral:rRNA from 1 species